rnacentral:rRNA from 1 species
AUUGAACGCUGUCGUCAGGCCUAACACAUGCACGUCGAACGAGUGGCGGACGGGUUAUUAAUGUCUGGGAAACUGCCUUAUGGAGGGUGAUUACUACUGGUAACGGUAGCUAAUACCGCCUACCAUCAGCUGUGCCCAGAUGGGCUUAGCUGGUUGGUGGGGUAACGGCUCACCCAGGCGACGAUCCCUAGCUGGUCUGAGAGGAUGACCAGCCAAACUGGAACUGAGACACGGUCCAGACUCCGACGGGAGGCAGCAGGGGGGAAUAUUGCACAAUGGGCGCAAGCCUGAUGAAGCCAUGCCGCGUGUAUGAAGAAGGCCUUCGGGUUGUAAAGUACUUUCAGCGGGGAGGCGUUACCCGCAGAAGAAGCACAGGCUAACACCGUGCCAGCAGCCGCGGUAAUUC